rnacentral:rRNA from 1 species
GUCUUUUUGGAAAUAAUUUAAAGUCUAAUCUGCCCACUGAAUAAUUUUUAAAGGGCUGCAGUAUAUUGACUGUACAAAGGUAGCAUAAUCAGUAGUCUUUUAAUUGAAGACUUGUAUGAAUGAUUUGAUGAGAUAUAAACUGUCUCUUUUUUAAAAAUAGAAUUUAAUUUUUUAGUUAAAAAGCUAAAAUAUAUAUAAAAGACGAGAAGACCCUAUAGAUCUUUAUAUUUAAGUUUUUAGAUUUAUUAUAUAAAAAUUAAAAUUUUUAAAAAUUAAAAUAUUUUAUUGGGGUGAUAGAAAAAUUUAAUAAACUUUUUUUAAAAAUUAAACAUUUAUUUAUGAAUUUUUGAUCCAUAAUUUAUGAUUAAAAGAAUAAGUUACCUUAGGGAUAACAGCGUAAUUUUUUUUUUUAGUUCAAAUAAAAAAAAGAGUUUGCGACCUCGAUGUUGGAUUAAGAUAAAAUUUAAAUGCAAAAGUUUAAAAUUUUGAUCUGUUCGAUCAUUAAAAUCUU